AUGACUUUUCCUCCGACAGUAAAGCGUUUUGUACUCUUGGUAAUUACUAAUAAACUUUUUAAUGUAAUGUAGGACUAUAUCCCCUGGAGAUACACAGGCUUUCUUGUUUAAACUGCUUCCUUAAAAUCCCUUUCUUAGAACGACUAUCAAAUCAACAGUAUAAAAUGGAACACUUUUCUUAGGUAAAGAAUUAAAAACAAACACAGACAAAAAAACCACCCACUUGAAAACAAACACCAAAGAAGCAGAAACUGGAUACUGAAUAUGUACACAGUUCUUUAAAUCAACAGGACUCUCCAUUAUCAAGGUAACUCCAAGGUAACUCCGAUAAAGUGAGUCCGAAAUAUUUACCUUGUACUAAACUCCCCCCACGCACUUUUUUUUAAAAAAGAGAAGUGCACGUGCAUAAUUCAGCACAAAGGCAGAGUCAAAGUGAAAGGAACCUAAGAACCAGCAGGUUUACCUCAGAAGCCUAUCUGCAAAGUAUUUUGAGAGUUAGAGUUUUAUAAAGACAUGUAUAAACUUGCAGUUCAUCAGACAACAGUCUGGCAAAGCAAUGAGGAAAAGAAAGAUUCAACAGGAGAGACUCAGGAAGAACUGUGGGCGUCCCCCGCCAGGAGGCGAGUCUACCCUGUGAUGUCAAAGGAAGGAAUGGGGCUGGGUGAAAAGCUCCCGAACACGGGGAGGGAGAGGCAAUAAACGUUUUGCUUCCUUCAGGCGUCCAGGCAUGUAGACUGAGAAGGAGGCUGUAAAUAUUAAAGCCAAACGAAGGAAGUGAAAAGGGAGAGAGAGGCAGCUAAGGGUUGUAUUGGUACAUCACAGUCCAGUUAUUCAAAAGGUCACUGGGAGCAAAUGAAUCAUUAACUCCCCUCUUCUUGUGGCUGGAAAUGGAAAUUAAGAAGAAAGGUAACUGAAUUCAAAGAGAGCGGCCUGUGCUUCAAGAAAAGCCUCCCAAUGCACUUGUUUUGUUCUAGAGCUGGAGUAUCGUUUACAGAAAAGCCACCCUGCACAGCGAUGUAAAGGUUGAGGUUUACAAGUGUGGACAGCCAGAGAGCUCAGUACACGGGCAAAUAAAAGCCAUCACACUCAAGGCGAGGAGUUUUCCAGAGCAAUCUGUUCUUUCAUAGCAUUGACAGUGCCGGCAGAUUUUCAGAUUCGAGGGCUGAAACAACUCUGAUAAUUCACUUAACAAUCUAGUCUCCCUUCACUUUUAAUGCUACGGUGGCUGGAAGCUUUUACUGUUACAGACAAUGCUCCUCAUUAAAUACAUGCAAAGUCCUUUCCUAGUGUUCAGCACAAGUGGGGCAUUCUUCAGCUGCCACGAAGUUUGGCUUCAAUCUUAAGGAUUGGGGUACCUUUAGAGCUUGGCUCUAACCCUACAGUCCCUCUCAACAGAGCUAGUGACUAAGUUACCACAAACCAAGAGUUCCUACAGGUUCCGCUUGACGAGCCUCUGGUAAUUAGCAUUCAGUGCAAGCCCAUCACCACCUCCACCUAAACCGAACGCUACGCAAAGUCACCUCCCUGCUCUCCACAAGCACACCGAUACAUGGGACCCACAGAAGUUCAAGCAAAGCAGCCAAGAGCUGUGGCAGAAAAAAAAAAAACACACGCCAAGUCUCAGAGGGGAGCCUCUUCUAAGCAUUUAUUUUGUAUUAUUGAUAGCAGGAAACGGUGUGUUUUCUUUGGUGACGUCAUCUGCCACCCAAAUAAACUAAGACUGUGGAAACGAUGUGAAGGCCUGCGUGACUCUGCAGAUCUGAAGCAUGGCAAUAGGUGUCGUACUGAAUAUUCCUUUUCGCCACAAUUAUUUCCCAAAUUGUUGACUUGAUCAUGCCACGCUGUCAGAAAGAGAUGCGUAAUCUGCUCCAUAACAGCUAAACCCGUCUGAUUGGGUGGGGAGUAGGUGAGAGGGCCAGAUGGAACUGGAUCAAGGGGAGAAACCACUUAAUUUCCAAUUCAAAUCAAAAUUAGAAUUACAUGAAUCGCGCUUGUGUUUUUAUAUGGUUUGCUACAUAAAUACCACAUACAAAUAUAACCAAAUGCAACUGGGAGACAGUUGUAAGCAUUACAACGGAGUCAAAAUAAACAUUAAUACACGUUUUA